GGCUCCAUGGUGUAAGGGUUAGCACGUGAGCCUACGGAGCUUAUAGUCGGGGUUCAAUUCCCUGUGGAGUCG